UUCUGGAAACGAAUGAACCUUGAAAAUAGGCCUUGCCCCGGAUGAAAAUAACCCCCGACUUGUUACACCUCAUAAGAGGCAAACCCAAAACUAACGCAGAAGCAGAGGUCGACCUCCAUAAGAACCUCGUUUUCACUCCUGUUCAUCCAAAGAUCUGCAUCUCCCUUCUCCAUCUUCGUCUCCAGUUGACGGUGCGGGAACUGCAAACGGAAAUCCAGCUACUGCAACUCUCCUUCGCUGUGCACAGAGCGAUCUCUGCAAACGAUCUUGACUACCAGGCGAGCUCCUUCGGUGUAGUGAACAAAUUUCAGAGUUCGUCUCCCACAUUCGAAGCUUCUCAUGGAAUUCUCGCUGCCAUUACUGAAACCCCUAGAGGAUGCUUGCAGAGGAGGUAGAAGGACUAGGAGAGUGUGCCUGCACUAGUAUCUUUGCUGGCGAUCAUGAAAUUCAGAAUUAUGUCCUUGAGAUAUCAGUCAUCCUCUGUUUAUCUUUCUUGCUCUCCAUCAGAAACCUUGAAACAUCUGUUUCCUCUUGUGGCUGAUUACUCCAAGCACAAAAUAGAGUUGCUGGUGGAAGACAGUACCCAUUACAGGAGGGUACUGAGGAUGAUUCAGUGACUUACCCAUGAAGGUUUUUAGUAGCGAACACAGAAGCAUAUGAGAACAAGGCAGAAUGAAACCAUUGCAGCACUCACAAUUCCAGAUAAUUAAUCCAUCACUUCAAGUAACUGAUGGUGGGAAAUCAUCAGAGAGAUUGUGAGCAAAGGAGACGGACACAGAGUGUUAAAUUGGUUCUUUCUAGCUAUUAAAAAGAAACAGUUUAUUUACUUCUCUCUCAUUCUCUGCCAAAACUUGAACCUGUAACCAUAGAUGUAUUUUAUGAAGCAUCUUCUUAACUUAAUGCAGAGAAAUCUUGAUGUGGGACAUAAUAGAUAUAUUUUAUGAAGCAUCAUCUUGACGAAUGCA